rnacentral:lncRNA from 1 species
CGGCGGCGCUGCCGGUCGGUAACCUCAGCGCUUCCUCCCGGCAGGGCGCCUUUCCCGCGGCGCCGAGGAUGCUGCCCUGACCCCGCAGCCCGGGCAGGUGUCCCCAGGUGCCAGGCAUGGCUGUGUCCCCCGGAGGGAUCCCCGCCGAGCUGCAAGAGGGCAUCACCACCUUCCUGGGGACAAAGAAGGUGCUCCUGGUGCUGAGCAUCCAGCUGCAGGUGAAAUCCAAGUAUGAUGACUUUAUCUUGGUAUGUGCAGAAUCUGGCCUGGUUCCUGCUUUCCUGGUUUCCCCAGGAAGGUGUUUUAUGGUGGCAGUGGGGGACAGGGGUGGCUUCCAUGUCACCAUGGUCCCUUGUCACACCUUGCCUAGGUCCUGACACCCUGGCGAGCCUAUGUGCUGCCUGUGAUGCUGCCAGUGAGGGUUCACAGCAGCUUCAGCUUCCUGGAGGUGAGGGAGAUGGCAGUCCAAGAGCCCAGUGUGGUUGUCAUAGAAACAGAUGCAGCGUCUUUUGCCUUCCGGUUCAUGUCCUUGGAUGAUUUGGAGCAAGUUGUUAUCCAUGUCACCAUGUCACUUAAGAAGGUCUUUCCAGACUCAUCCCUUGGGUAAGGGUCUUCUGCUCCUGAGGGGUGCUUGUGUAGGAACCAGAGUAACCCCUUUGCCCAGAAAAGCCCCCAGACUGCAGAAUCCUGGAAUGGUUUGGGUUUGGAAGGAACCUUAAAGAUCAUCUAGUUCCAACCCACCUGCCAUGAACCAGGACACCUGCAGCUAGAAAAUCCCAAAUAUAGGAUGGGUCUGCAACAGUGCUUUUAGCAGGAGAAAAACACAUGGAUGGAGGCGAGACCCUGUUCUCUGAUUCCAUAUUUCUGGCCACCCUACACACAGGGUUGUAGCUAAGCACAGAGUGGUGGGGAUGCUCUUCUGGCCCACCCUGACAGCCCUCUGCUCCCUCCCCAGGACACUGCUCAAGAACUGCCCCCCCAGCCUGUAUGAGAGGAUCCAGCAGAUCACAGACUCACUGGAGGAAGUGCUGCAGAGCAACCCUGGGCCAUGUGGUAAGUCCUGCCAUAACCUCCCUCAGGCAGGACCAGGAGGGUUGGAGCAC